rnacentral:lncRNA from 1 species
AGUGCUUUAAACAAUCAUUUUAUUUGCUUAUAAUUCUGUGAAUCAGGAAUUUAGGCAAAGUGUAGUUGGGUAGUCCUGCUUCUCUUGGCACUGGUUGGUGUCAUUCGCUCAGUUGUGCUUAUCUGGUGGUGGAGCUCUGACAGCAAAAGGGUAAGUUCUGUUGAGCCUUGAACCUCUCUCAACAUGUCUCUAGGAAGUGCAGUUUUGUAGCUAUCAGUUGGUGGUUAUUUUUUUUUUAUUGAUCAUUCUUGGGUGUUUCUCGCAGAGGGGGAUUUGGCAGGGUCAUAGGACAAUAGUGGAGGGAAGGUCAGCAGAUAAACAAGUGAACAAAGGUCUCUGGUUUUCCUAGGCAGAGGACCCUGCGGCCUUCCGCAGCGUUUGUGUCCCUGGGUACUUGAGAUUAGGGAGUGGUGAUGACUCUUAACGAGCAUGCUGCCUUCAAGCAUCUGUUUAACAAAGCACAUCUUUUUGAAGACAUGCACGGGUUGAGGACUCAUCAAUCUUCUCGGUCCUAGGCAGGGUCAGUAAAUUUAGUAUCCAGGGAGAGGCAUUAUUCCAGGUCAUGAGCAGAGCAGAGGAAACAAUGGGGAACUUGUGGUCAGGCUGGUAAAGUGAUACCUUAAAUUCCAGGAAUACUUGAUUUGGGAAUGGAAACAGGAUAGGCCCAGCAGCAAAACAAGAGCAGCACAAAAUCCUCCUUAGAAUGAUCAGUAAAUUUCACUGGCAAAGUUAAACAAAAUCAACUAUAAAGGAAACCAAAUGAAAAAAAUUAAACAAUAUUUUAAAGUUCUACAGAUGAUCCUAACGUCCUGCCAUGGUUGAGAAAUCUUGCUUUGUUCUUGAUGGAUGACUUUUUCCUUGGCUCACUUAGCCUCAAUUUCUGAAAGUAAAACAUUUCUUAAUUUCGUAUUAAGUCAAUAGUACAUAUGGGGCAAUAGCUCUGUGUUAAAAACUCUUCACCUAGGAAACAGGCAUUCUUAGGUACUAUGACCUUGAUUGUUCUAUUCUUCUCUAGCAAUUUUCUGUGAUUUACCCCACCCCUUUUGUAAAUCAUCCUCUCUUCUUCCUACUACUAUCUCUUCCUAAAUCUCUUCAGGCAAAUGAAGACCAACCCAUCAAGGACACAUUUCUAGAGAUUAUGGCUUUGUUUUGAAACCUUUUCAGUGAUAUCUCCUGAUGAUUUUAGAAGUUUU